rnacentral:rRNA from 1 species
UACGGAGGGAGCUAGCGUUGUUCGGAAUUACUGGGCGUAAAGCGUACGUAGGCGGUUAUUCAAGUCAGAGGUGAAAGCCCGGGGCUCAACCCCGGAACUGCCUUUGAAACUAGAUAGCUAGAGUCUUGGAGAGGUUAGUGGAAUUCCGAGUGUAGAGGUGAAAUUCGUAGAUAUUCGGAAGAACACCAGUGGCGAAGGCGGCUUACUGGUCCGGUACUGACGCUGAGGUGCGAAAGCGUGGGGAGCAAACAGGG